AGAGUACGUGAAACCGUUUAGGGGUAAACCUGAGAAACCCGAAAAGUCGAAGGGAGAAAUUCAUCGCGGUUCGACGUCGGAGACGGGCGGAUGCGAGACGACGCGUUUUCGGACGCGACGCUUCGUCCGUUCGUCGAGUCGGCGACGAACGCGUGCACUUUUCUCCUGGUAGGACGUCGCGAUCCGUUGGGCGUCGGUCUACGGUCGACGGUGGAGACCGCGAGUCGUUUUUCGGAACGUACGCGCGGACCCGUCGCACCCGGCCGACUCGCUCGACGGUAUACGAACGGUUCGGGGCCGCUUUUAAAGCGUUCGGCUCGAGGCAAGCGCGCCGGAUGUACGUCGGCGAUCGGACCUAGUGCCGAUUCCGACCUCCGGUGACUGUUGGCCGCGAAGUUCUCGAACAGACUCCGCUCGAAUCAAAAACCGAUCGGCGACGCUAUAGCUUUGGGUACUUUCAGG
rnacentral:rRNA from 1 species